rnacentral:lncRNA from 1 species
UUUAUGUUAACCUGAAAGUUAGUAUAAAUAAGUGUAUGAUUUUUACACAAUAAAAGUAUAAUCAAUCCCACAAAGAAAAAGAAAAGGCACACAAAUACCACUCAACCUUCAUUGUCGCCGCACCAUCCGUUGGAAACACACCAUGUUGUCGUACCCGCUCUGUUUGUCUCCGACGCGCCAUACUUUCUCUGAUUCAAUAGUUUUUCUUGUUGCUUUGGUGUUAUGUCGUUGCGUAUUGAAUUUGAUUCAUACAGUGCUUAAAUGAUUUUUUCUAAUUUAAAAAUCAAGAGUGUUAGAGAGGGAGAAAGACUUGUUCUCUUCUUUAUUUUUGAGUGUGAGUGGUGUGAAUGAUAUUUGACAGUUUUACAAAGUUAGUUUUUUUUUCUUUUUUAUUAUUAAAUUGAAAUUUAAUUAAAUUGAAAAGAAGUAGAUUUUUUUUUGAGGGAUAUUGCAUUUUUUAUACUAUGUUGAAUAAAAAGGAUUGACUAAUUGUGUUAUUCAAUUUUCACUCAUUCUUUUUCCAUUUCCUUUAUUAUUAUUUAUGAGCUUUCUUUUUAAAUAAGAUUUGAAUAAAUAAGUUGCCCUUGUGUUGAUAACACAUGUGUUUUGUUCUAUGAUAGUUGUAUUCAAUUUCCG